CUAAGGGUUUAUCAAUUUUGUUGAUUUUUUCAAAAAAAACAGCUUUUCGUUACAUUGAUCUUUUCUAUGGCUUUCUUCAUUUCUAUUUCAUUGAUUUCUGCUCUGAUCUUUAUGAUUUCUUUCCUCCUAAUAACUUUAGGUCUUAUCUGUUCUCUCUAAAGCUACUUUAGAUGUAACGUUAGCCUGUUUUUUGAGCUUUUUCUUGUUUCCUGAGGUAGGCUUGUAUUGCUAUAAAUUUCCCUCUUAGAACGGAUUUUGCUGCAUCCCAUAGGUUUUGAAGUGUCAUAUCUUUGUUGUCAUUUGCUUCUAGGUAUUUUUUAAUUUCCUCUUUGAUUUCUUCAGUGAUCCAUUGGUUGUUUAGUAGCAUGUUGUUUAGUCUCCACGUGUUUGUGUUUUUUGCAGUUUUUUUCUUGUUGAUUUCCAGGUGUAUAGCGUUGUGGUUGGAAAAGAUGCUUGAUAUGAUCUCAAUUUUCCUAAAGUUACCGAGGCUUGAUUUGUAGCCCAGGAUAUGGUCAAUCUUAGAGAAUGUUCCAUGUGCACUUCUGUUGCUUUUGGAUGAAAUGUCCUAUAAAUAUCAAUUAAGUCCAUUUGGUUUAAUGCUUCAUUCAGGGCCUGUGUUUCCUUAUUGAUUUUCUGUCUGGAUGAUCUGUCCAUUGCUGUAAGUGGGGUGUUAAAGUCCCCCACUAUGAUUGUGUUAUUGUCAAUAUGUCCUUUUAAGAUAGUUAGCAGUUGCCUUAUAUAUUGUGGUGAACCUAUGUUGGGUGCCUAGAUAUUUGAAAUUGUUAUAUCUUCUUCCUGGAUUGAUCCUUUGAUCAUUAGGUAGUGACCUUGUUCCUUAAAAUAUUCUUCAUUUUAAAGUCUAUUUUGUCUGAUACGAGUAUUGCUACUCCAGCUUUCUUUUGAUCCCCGUUUGCAUGAAAUAUGUUCUUCUAUCCUCUCACUUUCAAUUUGUAUGUGUCCCUAGAAGUGAAGUGGGUCUCUUAAAAACAGCAUAUAUAUGGUUCUUAUUUUUGUAUCCAUUCAGCCAGUCUAUGUCUUUUGGUUGGGGCAUUUAGUCCAUUAACAUUUAAGGUAAUUAUUGAUAUGUAUGUUCUUACUGCCACUUUAUUAAUUGCUUUGGAUUUGUUUUUGUUGCUCUUUUUUCGUCCCUCUUGUUCUCUCCUCUUGUGGUUUGAUGACUAUCUUUAGUGUUGUGUUUGAGUUGAUUUUUCUUAUAUGUUUGUGUAUAAAUUGUAGAUUUUUGGUUUGCAGUUAUCAUGAAGUUUUGAUAUGAGUCUAUAUACAUAUGAGAUUGUUUUAAGUUGCUGGCCUCUUAAUUCCAAGUGCAUCUCUAGUCUCCUGCAUUUGUACCCACCUCUUCUCAUGAUUUCUGAUUUAGGCGGUAUAAUUGUGUGUGGAUGAUUUUGUAUCUUUAUAUAUACCUUUACUGGUGAGCCUUGUCAUUUGUGGUAUUUUUGUUUCCUAUUGCAACCUUUUCUUUUCUGUCUAGAGAAGUUCCUUUAGUAUUUGUUGUAAAGCUGGUUUAGUGUUGCUGAAUUCUCUUAGCUUUUGCUUAUCUGUGAAGCUUUUGAUUUCUCCUUCAAAUCUGAAUGAGAGCCUUGCUGGGUAAAGUAAUCUUGGGUUGAAGGUUUUUUUCCUUUCAUCACGUUAAGUAUAUCAUGCCACUCCCUUUUGGCCUGCAGAGUUUCUGCUGAAAAAUCUGCUGAUAACCUUAUUGGGGUUCCCUUGUAUGUUACUUGUUUCUUUUCCCUAGCUGCUUUCAAGAUUUUCUCUGUCUUUAAUUUUGGUCAGUUUGAUUAAUAUGUGUCUCGGGGUAUUCCUCCUUGGGUUUAUUUUAUAUGGUACUCAUUGUGCUUCCUGGAUUUGAGUGAGUGGUUCCUUUCUCCUGUUAGGGAAGGUUUUGGCUAUUAUCUCUGUGAAUAUUUUUUCUGUCCCCUUCUCUCUCCUUUUUCCUUCUGGCAGCCCUAUAAUACAGAUGUUGGUGUGUUUAACAUUGUCCCAGAGUUCUCUGAGACUCCUUUCAUUUUCAAUCUUUUUUCUCUUUUUUGUUCCAUAUCCCUAAUUUCCACUAAUCUGUCCUCCACUUCACUUAUUCGUUCUUCUGCCUCCUGUAUUCUGCUGUUAGCUGCUUCUAGUGAGUUUUUUAAUUUCAAUUAUUGUAUUUUGCAUCUCUUGUUUAAGUUUUAUAUCUUGUAUCUCUUUGUUCAGUGUUUCCUGUAAGUUAUCCAUCUUUGCCUCCAGUUUAUUUCCAAUGUCUUGCAUCAUCUUCAGCAUCAUGGUCUAAAGUCUUUCCUGGAGGCUGAGAAUCUCCUGCUCACUUAGCUGAUUUUCUGGGGGGUUUUCUUUCUCUUUCAUCUGAGUUAUGGUUCUCUGUCUUCUCAUUUUUAUAGGUUUUUGGUGUGGUGACCUUUUUACAGAUAAGAGAGUUGUAGACUGUCUUAAUUCUGGUGUCUGCCCCCCUUGUGGCUGAAGUUGGUACAGGGGCUUGCUGUAGGCUUCCUGAUGGGAGGGACUGUUGCCUGCCCACUGGUAGGUGGAGCUGAUUCCUAUCCCUCUGGUGGGUGGGGAUUUGUCUCUGGAUGAGGUUAGAGGUGGCUGUGUGCCUAGGGGGUCUUUAGGCAGCCUGUUUACUGUGGGUCUGUGAUCCCGCCUGGAUUGUUGUUUGCCCUGGGGCUCCUCAGUGCUGAUGGGUAGGGCCAGAUUUUCCCAAAAUGGACGCCACCUCCAGAGAAAGGCAUGCUGCUGAAUAUUCCCGAGAGCCUUACUUCCAAUGUCUUUCCCCCACCACAAGCCACAUUCACCCCUGUUUUCCCAGGAGGUCCUCCAUGAACUGCAGUCAGGUUUGACCCAGAUUCCUAUGGAGACUUUGCUUUGCCCUGGGACCCAGUGCAUGUCAAAGUCUGUGUGCGCCUUUUAAGAAUGGGGUCUCCAUUUCCCCCAGUCCUGUGGAGCUCCUGCGCACAAGCCCCACUGGCCUUCAAUGCCAGAUCCUCCAGGGGCUCUUUCUCCCAGUGCUGGAUCCCCACACAUGGGAGUCUUAUGUGGGGCUCAGGACUCUGACUCCUGUAGGUGAGUCUCUGUGAACCAGUUACUUUCCAGUCUGUGGGGCUUCCCACCUGGGUGGUAUGGGGUUGCUUAUGUCAUGUAAUCGCCCCUCCUACCUCUUGAUGUGGCCUCCUCUUUGUCUUCUGGAGUAGGAUAUCUUUUUGAAAGUUUCCAGUCCAUUUGGUUGAAGAUUGCUCAGUAUUUAGUUGUAUAUUUUGUUGUUUUUAGGAGAGAAGUUGAGCUCCAGUCCUUCUAUUCUGCCAUCUUAACCCCAUCCAUGAUAACUCAUUCUUCACACAUCUUCUGAACUUAGAUUAGAAGAAUCCAAGCUACAGAGUGGAGCAUCUCCUUUCACCACCUUCCUUUUUCUGAUUCUUUCUUUUCUCCAAGGGUGCAGCCACCUCUCUUGAACUCUCACCCUUUUCCCUGCAUAAGCUCUUCAUCCUUCCUUCAUUUGGUGUUGGGGGGUGUGUUGUCUAUUUUUUCUUUCACAUGCCUCUGAGACUGGUUUCCUCUCAGGGAAUUUGACAGCCCCACUGCCAUGACCCAGAUGGAAGACAUGACAAGUUGCCACCAAUAAUAAUCACUUGUCAUUAAGUCAUUCCAGUGAAGACAAAAAGCAAAGAGGUCCCAUUCAUUAAGUUCCUGUCUCUGGCUGUCACACACAGAGGGGAUACUGGUGGACUGAAGGAGGCAGCUUUGUUUUUUAUGAAAAAGAGACUUUCAGUCUUUUCCCCUACACUUGGUAAGAGCCUGCUUUGGUGGUAAACACGAUAGCAGAAAUAUCCUCUUCAAACUCCCUGCUGUUCCCUAUAAAAUGUCUACAGGUGGCUCUGAAAGCUGAGCCUCUGGAGGAAUUGAUUCUCCCUUUAGAGGUCUGGGGGUCUAUGUUAUUAAAGGCACAGACGCUGGUGCCAAACAGACCAAAGGUUCAAGACUUGGCUCUACCUCUUGUUGAUGCCAGGGCCCUGGGCAAGAUAUGUCCUAGUUCUGAAGCUCCAUUUACUCCUGUUUAAAAUAAAGGGAAUUUCAGUCCCCACUUUAAAGAGGUUGCUGUGGUUGAGAUAAUGUGUAUAUAGCUCUCAGCACAUACUGAGAGCUUGACUGGCGAGAGGUGGGAUUACUGUGGCUGUUGUCAUCAGGAAAUAAUCAACCACAAAAACGACAAUGAAUCCCCAAACACGACAACCCACCAGCACAGCCUUAACGAAAACACAAAUGGUUCCCCUGUGGCUCUUUCACACAUGCUUCCUAAACGUCCUAAUAGCCACACCACCACUUCAGAGGAGCUCUUACUGUGUGCCAUGCAUGAGCUGAGAGCAGGUGACAACCCAUUCCAGUGUUAAAACUGAAAACCCCACAUCCCUGGAGACCCUUAAGUCCUAAGCAAAUCAGGAUGACCCCUCUACCAAGCAGAGAGUUUUAAGUGUAUUUAAUCCUCACACUAAGCUUUCAAGAAAGGCAUUUCUGUUCCCAUUUUACAGUCGAGGAAGGUGAACAUAUAGAGAUGCUUCUUUAAUGAGCAUAGGGACCACCGGGGUUCUUGUUCCAUUGCUGAUUUAGACUCAGAACCUGCCGGAGCAUUGACAACAAGCUUCUGGGUGGCACUGAUGCUGCUGGCCCAGGGACCAAGCUUUGAGUAGCAACCUUGCAGUGAUCAGUCACAUGCCUGAGGUAGAGCAGAGGUUCAGACCUACGGGUCCCUCCCCACAGCAGCCUUCAGCUGUGAUGCAGGGUGGCCUCUGUCUUCCAGGAAGAGUGGGGAGUGAAGCAAGACGGUGUCUGUUGUCUGACAUCUUCACCUCUGUGUGUUUCCAUCGGCCUCCCCAGCUGAGACAGCCACAUGUCACAGUCUGUCAGGCCCGUCGUCUUAUCCAACAAAGCACUUUCAGAGAGAGGCUGUGAGUCAGAACACACUGUACAAGAGGGAGGAAGAGGGGCCACCCCUGGUGAACUGCCCCACUCCCGGGAGAGAAAAGAAGCCACCCUAAACCAGGUGGUGCCCACGCCUAUUUGCAGAUGGAAACGAUGACACCACUGGGAACACAGCCACCCCCUCCUGCACACUGGCCUUGGGGCUCUCAAACUCCAAUGAGUCACAGAGUCCUUCUGAGCCUCUGUGUUUCCAUCUAUAGAAUGGACCCAGUGGGGCUCUGGUUCCCUGGAGGGGUGGGGGGCCAUCUGUCACACAGUAACGCCCUGGAGCUCUGUGAACUGCAGCGAGGGCAGGGGUGUCACCCGCGGGUACAAAAGGAGAGCUGCCACCUCCUCGCUCCCUCCCCCUGAUCCUGUGUGCCCAGAACAUACUGUCCAGGCCUCUAUUGUUGCUCUCUCAUCACCAGGUAUUUAAAGUGUCUAUUUAAGUACCUGUAUCCAUGCAACUAGAUUAAUGCUAAUUCCUCUGCAGGAACAGGACCCAGGCCAGCUCCUAUAUAUGGUGGACCUCAGAGCUCAGCAUGUUAGCUGAAGGUACAAGUAAGAGAGGGAAGAAGGGAGGGGAGGAGGGAGGGAGAGAUGGAGGGCAGAGGGCGUGGGUAAGAGAGAGGGAAGGAAUGACUGACUAUUCAGUGAGAAACAGCAGCUCAGUCCCUGGAGUUAGGGAGUUGGCUGUCGGUGGGUGCCCCACAGAUGGAGGGGUGAGAUGAGGGAUCUGGGAGGUGAAUCUGAGUGGUCGGAGUAUAGGAAUCCUUUGCAAGCCAAACUCUCAUGAUCUGACGGCAGAAACUGGGGAGGACUGGGUCAGGUAUGCUGCAAUGUCUGAACUCGUGCUACUUGCUUUCCAGAACUCAGGAACCAGGCAGAUUGAGACAAAAUGAUAACCUUCUCUAUCCAAACCCAGGAACACGGUUUCUCUGCUCAAUCCCCACCUCACUCCCAAGCCUCAUUUUCCGCCCUCCCCAUCAUCACAGAUACUAAAGCCCAUCUACUGAAUGAGUCCAUUUACAUGGAUCCACAGGCACAGAAAGCAGUGGUGGCCUGGAGCUGGCCAGGAGAUGGGACGGGGAGGGGCAGCUGAUGGGCACAGAGUCUCUGUGUGAAGUGAUGAGAGGUCCUGGAAAUAGUGGUUGCCUAACACUGUGAUGGCAGUAGCAACUGUACACUUGACAACAUAAAAUGGUGAACUGCAAUGGUGACUCUUACCUGUAUUUUACCACAAUUUUUAAAAACAAGAAGACAAACACAUAAAUAAAGCAAGCAAGUAGGACCUGCCGCUGAGGCUGGAUGCUUCUUCUGGGUUCCUUCAAUCUGGCAGCUGGUGUGUGUGUGGGGGGGGGGGUCCCUUUGGGAGCCCAUGGACGUCAUGGCCACUUGAGGCACUGAUCCAGCUGGAAGGAAGGCUCUCCUGGGGCAGCAGGAGCAGGGAGCAGGUGGCCACCCACACGGUCCUGCUCUUCCUGGGUAUCUG
rnacentral:lncRNA from 1 species